rnacentral:rRNA from 1 species
AUUGAACGCUGGCGGCAGGCCUAACACAUGCAAGUCGAACGAGUGGCGGACGGGUGAGUAAUGUCUGGGAAACUGCCUGAUGGAGGGGGAUAACUACUGGAAACGGUAGCUAAUACCGCAUACCAUCGGAUGUGCCCAGAUGGGAUGAGCUUGUUGGUGGGGUAACGGCUAACCAAGGCGACGAUCCCUAGCUGGUCUGAGAGGAUGACCAGCGACACUGGAACGGAUACAAGGUCGAGAGUCCUUCGGGAGGCAGCAGUGGGGAAGAUUGCAAGAUGGGCGCAAGCCUGAUGCAGCCAUGCCGCGUGUAUGAAGAAGGCCUUCGUGUUGUAAAGUACUUUCAGCGGGGAGGCGUUACCCGCAGAAGAAGCACCGGCUAACUCCGUGCCAGCAGCCGCGGUAAUAC